rnacentral:rRNA from 1 species
UACGUAGGCAGCGAGCGUUGUUCGGAAUUACUGGGCGUAAAGAGUGUGUAGGCGGUGUUCCCAGUCUGUUGUGAAAUCUCCCGGCUUAACUGGGAGGGUGCAGCGGAAACUAGAAUGCUAGAGGGUGGGAGAGGUAAGCGGAAUUCCUGGUGUAGCGGUGAAAUGCGUAGAUAUCGGAAGGAACAUCAGUGGCGAAAGCGGCUUCCUGGUCCAGCACCGACGUUCAGGCACGAAAGCGUGGGGAGCAAACAGG